rnacentral:rRNA from 1 species
UACGUAGGGAGCGAGCGUUAUCCGGAAUUAUUGGGCGUAAAGGGUGCGUAGAUGGCAUAGUAAGUCUUUUGUAAAAAUGCUGGGCUCAACCCAGUAGGGCAAAAGGUACUGCAAAGCUAGAGUAUGACAGAGGCAAGUGGAACUACAUGUGUAGCGGUAAAAUGCGUAAAUAUAUGUAAGAACACCAGUGGCGAAGGCGGCUUGCUGGGUCGAUACUGACAUUGAGGCACGAAAGCGUGGGGAGCAAACAGG